rnacentral:lncRNA from 1 species
CGUGGUAUUAUAACUUUUUAUAAACACUUUAAGGUAUGAUAAACGAAGAGUAAAAUGGUGCAUGAGGCUUCCUUCUGUACAGCAGCAGCAUUGGCUGAAGUGCUUUCAUUUAUGAGACUAUGUCAUGGUAGUGUGAAAUACUUGGCCGUAAGGCUGUGGAGCCACUGGUGCUGUGCCCUCUCCAUAGAAUGACGGACUUGCGAAGGCUCCACUGUACUUGUCGGUUGCAGGGCG